rnacentral:rRNA from 1 species
GGGCGGGACACGUGAAAUCCUGUCUGAACAUGGGGGGACCACCCUCCAAGCCUAAGUACUCCUCUACGACCGAUAGUGAACAAGUACCGUGAGGGAAAGGUGAAAAGCACCCCGACAAGGGGAGUGAAACAGAUCCUGAAAUCGGAAGCCUACAAGCAGUCGGAGCCCCCAAGCGGGGUGACGGCGUACCUUUUGUAUAAUGGGUCAGCGACUUCAUGUGUCGAGCAAGCUUAAGCCGUUAGGUGUAGGCGCAGCGAAAGCGAGUCUGAAUAGGGCGCUAAGUUCGACGUAUGACGACCCGAAACCAGGUGAUCUAUCCAUGAGCAGGAUGAAGGUUAGGUAACACUAACUGGAGGUCCGAACCCGUGAAUGUUGAAAAAUUCUGGGAUGACUUGUGGAUAGGGGUGAAAGGCCAAUCAAACCUGGACAUAGCUGGUUCUCCGCGAAAUCUAUUUAGGUAGAGCGUCCGACGAAUUCCUUGGGGGGUAGAGCACUGGAUGGUUGCGGGCUGCGCGAGCGGUACCAAUACUAACCAAACUCCGAAUACCCAAGAGAACUAUCGGGCAGACACACGGCGGGUGCUAACGUCCGUCGUGAAAAGGGAAACAACCCUAACCAUCAUCUAAGGCCCCCAAGUCAUGGCUAAGUGGGAAACGAUGUGGGAUUGCUUUGACAAUCAGGAGGUUGGCUUAGAAGCAGCCAUCCUUUAAAGAAAGCGUAACAGCUCACUGAUCAAGCGAUCCUGCGCGGAAAAUGUAACGGGGCUCAAGCCAUGCGCCGAAGAUAUGGGUUUGCAGUUUACUGCAAGCGGUAGCGGAGCGUUCCGUAAGCCUGUGAAGGUCAACCGUGAGGUUGGCUGGAGGUAUCGGAAGUGAGAAUGCUGACAUGAGUAACGAUAAACAGUGUGAGAAACACUGUCGCCGAAAGACCAAGGGUUCCUGCGUAAAGCUAAUCUGCGCAGGGUUAGUCGGCCCCUAAGGCGAGGCUGAAAAGCGUAGUCGAUGGGAAGCAGGUAAAUAUUCCUGCACCAGCUGGAAGUGACGGAUGGCAUAAGUCGUCGGGGCUUAUUGGAUUGUUCCCGGCGGUGGCGUUGUCCCUGGAAAUAACUCCAGCAGAGACCGUACCCGAAACCGACACAGGUGGUCAGGUAGAGCAUACCAAGGCGCUUGAGAGAACUGUGCUGAAGGAACUCGGCAAAUUGCACGCGUAACUUCGGAAUAAGCGUGACUCACCUUGCGCAAGCAGGAAUGAGUGGCACAAGCCAGGGGGUAGCGACUGUUUAGCAAAAACACAGGGCUCUGCGAAGCAGCAAUGCGACGUAUAGGGUCUGACGCCUGCCCGGUGCCUGAAGGUUAAAGGGAGGAGUGAAAGCUCCGAACUGAAGCCCAGGUAAACGGCGGCCGUAACUAUAACGGUCCUAAGGUAGCGAAAUUCCUUGUCGGGUAAGUUCCGACCUGCACGAAUGGCGUAACGACUUCCCCACUGUCUCCAGCACAGGCUCAGUGAAAUUGAAUUCCCCGUGAAGAUGCGGGGUUCCCGCGGUCAGACGGAAAGACCCUAUGAACCUUUACUAUAGCUUCGCCUUGGCGUUAGCGACCGUAUGUGUAGGAUAGGUGGGAGGCUAUGAAGCCGGGGCGCCAGCUCUGGUGGAGCCAUCCUUGAAAUACCACCCUUACUGUCGUUGACGUCUAACCGAGGGCCGUUAUCCGGUCCCGGGACAUGGCGUGGUGGGUAGUUUGACUGGGGCGGUCGCCUCC